rnacentral:rRNA from 1 species
GAUGAACGCUGGCGGCGUGCCUAAUACAUGCAAGUCGAGCGAACAGACGAGGAGCUUGCUCCUCUGACGUUAGCGGCGGACGGGUGAGUAACACGUGGAUAACCUACCUAUAAGACUGGGAUAACUUCGGGAAACCGGAGCUAAUACCGGAUAAUAUAUUGAACCGCAUGGUUCAAUAGUGAAAGACGGUUUUGCUGUCACUUAUAGAUGGAUCCGCGCCGCAUUAGCUAGUUGGUAAGGUAACGGCUUACCAAGGCAACGAUGCGUAGCCGACCUGAGAGGGUGAUCGGCCACACUGGAACUGAGACACGGUCCAGACUCCUACGGGAGGCAGCAGUAGGGAAUCUUCCGCAAUGGGCGAAAGCUUGACGGAGCAACGCCGCGUGAGUGAUGAAGGUCUUCGGAUCGUAAAACUCUGUUAUUAGGGAAGAACAAAUGUGUAAGAAACUAUGCACGUCUUGACGGUACCUAAUCAGAAAGCCACGGCUAACUACGUG